UGGCCUGAGGAGCAGGGACGGGAGCUUCGAGACUAAGGCAGCGCGAAAGUGGCCACAGAGCAGAACGGGCACAAUGAACGCUUCCAUGGGACUCCCUCUGUGUUGAAUUGAUGCACCAGAGGCAGCAGACAUAUCCGCAUUUCAGGCCACUCCAUUACCAUCACUGCCCUGGUACCUGCAGAAGCCUGUGUUACAGAUUCUGAGGAUUAGGAUACAGACACCAG